rnacentral:lncRNA from 1 species
UCUGGUGGUAUCUAUAUACGAUUCUACAGGGGCUAUAGAAUGGCCUGAGCUGCCUGCUUCAUCCAAAGCUGAAUGAUUUCCUCGCAUUUGCUGAAAUGCUGUGGUUGGACCUCCACUUAUAGGUAUGGUGGGAUCUUCGGCUAUGGAAGAUGGAUGAUUUGACAUCUCAUAAGAAGGUUGAGAAAUUUGAAUCUCGGAACUUUGUUGUUCAAUACUCUCGUGAAGGAUGCGUGAAAUAAUUGAAAAUCUUGAAAGACGAAGCAAAAAAAUUCUCCUCUCAGCCAUUUUAACAUCCAAAUGAGCAUCCAACUCAAAAAGAAUUUCCUGAAGUAUACCUGCAUGAACAGUAUACAUAGACUAUUUAGACUUGUCAAAACAUUGUUACAUAUAUGUAUAUGAAUAAAGAGACAAUUGAGCAUGUUAAUUUCUUAAACAUAAAUUAUAGACAAAAUGUAAUAAGACUAAAAAUCCUCUACCCGAUUCAUCUCUUGCCACGAGCACAAGUGAAAUUUCAGAGAGACUGAUAACCAACUUGUCCACCUUUUCCUGAUUUACAGUCUGAUGUGUAGUCUCCAACCCUUGGCUGUGAUGAUUAUUAUGUACAACCACAUCCUUAACUGUUCCAGCUCUAAGGUUUUCCUUGGGUACUGGUGCAGCAGGAAAAACUUGUCUAAGGCCCUGUUCAUAUGAUGUCAAGCACUGAAAGAACAUUGCUACCGCUUCUGCUUCAAGAAAAAUAGAACCACCCUGUACAGCAGUACCAUUUGUUAAUCAAAUAGUCAAUCUGCUCACAACAUAAUAUGAAAAAUCCUCAGCUAAUAGUUUUUUGUUACAAAAGAGUAUAUCACCAAUAGCAUCAUUUAGCAAUUAUAUAGGCUAUCUUUAUUUAAAGCCUAAUUCAAUAUCAAGGUAAACGGUUUGUCCUGAGACUACUAUGUAAUCAAGAACGUAACAAUAACUAACAAUAUUGUCGCAGUCAUCAAGACAAAAGCAGUUGAAAACUAAGACCAAGAGCCUUCACGCCUCCUAAAUUCAGCAGAAUCAAUACGGUAAUAAACAUAUGAGACUAUACUUAUUAAAGGAAAAACAACCAAAUUGUAAGUCAUCAUCAACACAAAAGCAACUAAAAAAGCCAGAGUGGGUUAUACUGCCUGUAUAUUUGAAAUUUUUGCAACUACGAGUCUACAACUGACUAGUGACUAGCAUAAGUUUGGUUUUGGGAAGCACUGACCUGCGUAUGGCAAGAUAUUCUCCGACCAUUUGCUCCAAGAGAAAGUGAUAACUUCAGCUUAUUCAAAUUAUGUUCUCCAAAUAAGAGAUCUUUUUCCAUGCUUCCGGCAAAAUAGAUUUCACUGAGGCUUAUAUUUAUAAGCAUCCUAUGACUUGAUGUUGCACCAAUGUUCUGUCCAGUACUAUUGAAUUUCUGACUAAUAUUAGGCGACAGAGUUAAUGAUUCUUCAUUAUCAAUUGCCAGUGGGGAUCCUUCUACUAAAUUCAAAAUUUCACCGUCACAAUCAAAAGCAUCAUUUGAACUUUGUACAUGUUCAAAUGCAAAAUCCCCCACAAGGCAUCUCAACCACAAAGCAAACGUACAACCAGAAAGAGACAAUUCUUUUUCACAUUUCAUUGAUUGUAGCAACAAGUUGCUCUCAUAAAAUUGAUCAUAGUUUCCAGCAACAUCACUCACGAAGUUGAAAAUGCCAGCCCUUAACACAGAAAAACCAGCGAGAAUGUCUGCAUCCCUCGCCACAUAUGAAAUCCUAAUACGUGAUUCCUUAAUAGAAAAACUAACUCCGCAGUCAAGCACUUCAUGCAUGGUCAGCUUUUUGUUACCUAAAGUAUCAGAUGUAUGAUCCUUAUAAUUGCUAUCCCUGGAUUUAUGAAGGACGAUAUCGAUGGCCUUUAUCUCAUAUGUACAAUUAAUUACAAAUCCAGUACUUGAUUCAAUCAUAUUCUCCCAAUUCACUCCACUAACCAAUGUUCCUGUAUUUCCAGAAUCACCUUGCACAAUCUCGUCUCUACCUGAAUCAUCCGGAUUCAUAUAACCAUUUGAAUCAAACAUAGUAAUUGUACUCGUAAAAAUUGAAGUUAAACCAUCAACUACCUGCCAGAAAGAGAAGUUAUUAGACAUGUAGGUAUGUGUGCCUCGUAUAAUUUCUUCAAGGUAACAAGUUUAAGAUUUAUUUUACCUUAACUAAAAUAGAAAAUUCAUCCAUAAAUAUCAAAACAGCAAGUUCAGUAGUAAUACAAUGCAGUCCUGCUGAGAAUGCAACAAUUGUAGCACCAAACGAAUGAAGCUCCUUCCUGUCAGAUAUGUAAUAACCUUUAACCAGAAGAAAUAAAAAAANUUGUAAUUGUUUUGGCCACCUUGAAUUGUAAUAUAUGUGUGAUGGUGCACGUCUUGUAGAGCAACAACAGUCCCUGGACAAGUAGUGCAUCUUGUCAGCUCCUUACUAAUAUAAGCAUAAGUAAAGAAGAAAGGCAAUUUAGUAAGUUACUGAAGAUAGACAGACAAGUGCUGCCAGAAAGUAAAUACCAUCGGGAACUACAUCUUCAAAUUUUCUUUCAGGUUCCUGAUUUUUAAUCAAGUACUUUUGCUCUACAUUGUUAGUCGCCUUUUUACUGAGAAAUCCAGACAUUGUUUCCAAGGUGGAAAGAAUUAUCUGAUGCAAUAGAAGCGAAUAAAAAUGAGUGAGGUGUAUCAAAAGAGCGUACUCCCUCCGUUUCAAAUUAGAUGUCCACAUUCAAAAAAUCACAUAGUUUAAGAAAAGUGAGUAUUCACAAAUCAAUUGCAUUAAAUGAACAUAAUAUGUGGAAUGCGAUUGAUCUAGAAAAAAUAAAUAAGAGAUAUGUGAAGUAAAAUUGACUUCGGAAAUAGGAUUUUGCAUUGAAAGGUGAAGUUGACAACUAAUUUGAAACAAAAUUUUUUGUUAAAAGUGGACAUGUGAAUUAAAACGGAGGGAGUAAUAUAUUAAUAAUCAGUAAGGCCAUCUGAUACCAGCGAACUCUUCAACCAAGUCAUGAUCAUAAUAUGAUGUUUUUUAGCCACCUUAUCAAAAAUAAAUAGGUACUUAAGGUAUAUCAUGAAUUUUAUAUCUUAAAGUGAUAUUAAACACUAACCUGUAUCUCUUGAAGAGAUAUUGUAAUUUCAAUCCCAGAAAUAGAACCACCCCCAAACCAAUAUUGUUGACUAUAGAUAUCCCUGGGCAUAAACUUCUCGAGUGUAAGGUAAGCGCUUGUAUGCUUUAGUAUGCAGUUUUGAGGACUUAAACCAAAAACUUUUGGUCUGGUGGUAUCUAUAUACGAUUCUACAGGGGCUAUAGAAUGGCCUGAGCUGCCUGCUUCAUCCAAAGCUGAAUGAUUUCCUCGCAUUUGCUGAAAUGCUGUGGUUGGACCUCCACUUAUAGGUAUGGUGGGAUCUUCGGCUAUGGAAGAUGGAUGAUUUGACAUCUCAUAAGAAGGUUGAGAAAUUUGAAUCUCGGAACUUUGUUGUUCAAUACUCUCGUGAAGGAUGCGUGAAAUAAUUGAAAAUCUUGAAAGACGAAGCAAAAAAAUUCUCCUCUCAGCCAU